rnacentral:rRNA from 1 species
AUUGAACGCUGGCGGCAUGCCUUACACAUGCAAGUCGAACGGUAACGGGCCUUCGGGUGCCGACGAGUGGCGAACGGGUGAGUAAUGCAUCGGAACGUACCUUUCAGUGGGGGAUAACGUAGCGAAAGUUACGCUAAUACCGCAUACUCUGUGAGCAGGAAAGCAGGGGAUCGCAAGACCUUGCGCUGAUUGAGCGGCCGAUGUCAGAUUAGCUAGUUGGUGAGGUAAAGGCUCACCAAGGCGACGAUCUGUAGCGGGUCUGAGAGGAUGAUCCGCCACACUGGAACUGAGACACGGUCCAGACUCCUACGGGAGGCAGCAGUGGGGGAAUUUUGGACAAUGGGGGCAACCCUGAUCCAGCCAUGCCGCGUGAGUGAAGAAGGCCUCGGUUGUAA